AUUUUAACACAUACUCAUUAUCAAGAAAACUUUGAAUGAGACACUUUGCACCUUUCACAGACAGCCCAUGUGUACUUGGUCCUUGGAGCACGUCUCAUCUCGGACCAGCCCCGUUUCGUAGGCACAGAAGCCCUGGGGGGCUGGUGGCCACCUCUCCGAAGGGGCAGGGCUGGCAUUUCAGGAUGUGCCCUGAGCUCUUCUGAGGUAUCCUAUUGAGAGAGCCUGAGCUGCCCAUUGUCUCUUGUAACUGGCUGCUUCCACUUCCUGGGGUCCAGGGGCAUGGGCUGCAUCUCUCUACAGCUUCUUCUAUAAAAAAUGGUCUGAGUCCCCUGACACCCUCAUGGGAUGAGGAGGAGGCAAACAUUUGAUGCUGCUGUGCAGACGUUUUGUAAACUGUUUCUUGGCACCCAGGUGGGAGGUGGAGGGACCCACCUGACUUCGAAGGCCAUUCAAACACAGAACAGCAGCAAGUGCAGCAAAGUGGGCCACACCCGGGGGAGGGGACACGGCAGGACCGCCUCCACUUGAGUGAAUUCAGGUGUGUUUAUGACAACAGUCUUAGGCUCUAUGCGUCACCCCCUCUUUAUUUGUGCAGUCGGUGGCAGGCUGCAGGGAGCUUCUGGAAACCACCUGUUGGUGGUAGCUUAUUGGUCUGUGGCAGGAUGGGCCUGAAUCAGGACCUGAGACACGUGGGUGAUCAGUGCCCUGUCCUCUGAUGCCACGUGGGCCUCGUAGUCAGUGGGCCUGGGUUGAUUGCCGUGUUGCUUGGAGGGCCUUGUCUUUUGGAGGCUCCAGGGCUGCCCAGGUGCAGCCGUUGACCUGGUCCCCAAUCCCAGCAACCCAAAAAACCCAUCGCUUCUUCCCUUAGUGUUUAUUUGGAUUUCUCACCUCUCACCUUAUCUUAAUGUCAACCGGUGGAGCCUUCUUUCCCCAUCUAGGGCCAGUGGGCUUCUCUGGUUGAAGGUGGAGAAAGGGAGGGGCAGAGGGUGACAAGGAAAGAAUCAGAAACCGCCUUGCACAGGAGGAUAACGGAAGGGGGGAUAUGUGAUGGAGGCAAGAAGUCCUCGUCCUAGACUGGUUUUUGUUUUGUUUUUGUUUUGUUUUUUAAUUCAAGGCUGUUCAUGUUUUUCUCUUGUUCACUCCUGAAGUGACGUCUCAGAGCUAGAGGUUCUAAGUCCUGACGCUGCAGCCCUGAUGAGUCGAGUAGCCGGGAUGGCAGUCCUGGUUUCUGCUGGCAGAAAGAGCACCUGUAAACCCUGUCCCACCAAGGAUGCGCCUUCCUGCAGAGCAGCGGUUAAGUCUGAGGGUUUUCUCACUAUUGCUCUUAGCGUCCCUUCGUCUGAAUGUGAUAACCAUCCUCUUGCACCCUUGCUGUGCCCGGGGCACCCACACACCCACCCACCCAGCCAGCUGGCCGGCCGGUCCGAGGGCUGCCGCCUCCAGGGGGACAGUGGGGUUCAUGCCCCUGGUAAGCCGAGAGGCGGGUGUGGGUUUGGGGUUUUAGGGAGGGAGGCAUCUGAUUCCUUCAAUGGGCUGGCCUCCUGGGAAGGCAGGAAAAAAACUGUGAAAGUGUGAGCUUGAGUGGCCCCGGCGCCGGCCUCUGUUGGGGCUGGAGGAGCGCAGCUGUCUGACCCCGGGUGAAGAGUUCAAAUCUGCAUUUAAAAGGCGUGCCAGCCCCCCUGCCCCCCUCCCCCCAGUCAAGUUGAAACUGUUGGUGUUUUAGAGGCUACGGUCAGGCCUUGCACUGGGACAGCAAACAGCUUCUGCCACCACCAGUGAUGGGGGAAGUGGGUGUGGGGGGAGGGUGUCUCUUCUGAGACGCAGUUCUCUUGGGUGACAAUAGUUGUCGAGGACACCCCCUCCCCGGGUGGGGGGCGGGGUGCGGGGGGAGUGCCUGGAAAGAGGGAAGUUUCUCCCUCGGGCUGACACUGAGUGCUUAACCCCUUUUCCCCUGUGCUCUUGACAGGGCCGCUUGUGGGGAUGUGGAGGCCCAGGCAGGCCUGGGGGGUGGGGAUGGGGGAGGCCAGGUGAUGUCUGGUGGCCGCCGACCCUGUCCAGGGAGGGACGUCUCCCUGCUUUGGCACCGAUGGUCUGUGCCAAAAGAGGGCAAGUCUGCCAGUCCCCUGCUCCUCUGUGCACACCCGCAGUCCUGAGCAAGGGGGCCUCUUACGCUUUUCUGGAAGCUUCCUCUGCGGGUGGACUCUAGAUGGGCCACAUGGGGUCAAGGAGGGCGCAGGCUUGGGGGUGGGGAGAAUUGGGGGUGGGGCGGACACUGGCCUCAGCCCCUGAGAAGUGACGGGAAUGACAUCGGCAGCCCCCUCCCCCUCGCCGCACUCUGCUUCCCCUGCGCAGGAGGGGGUCUGGCCCUCGCCCUGCCGGAAACCCCACCACUCAGGCUCUGAUUUGUUUACUUGAGCAUUAGGUAAAUGUAAACAGUUCAACCUCUCCGAUUUUAUAUCCCUAAAGGGUCUGAGUGUGAAUACAAAUGGGUAUUAGGCCCCUGUGGUUUCAACGACUGUCCCCACCCUCUUCCUUGCUAACUAGCAGGUCUUUAACCCGCUGGGAGCAAGAGAAGGUCCUUUGCCAGCCCCAGGACUCUGGGCGCCCUCUUUUCUUUUCUUUUUGGUUUUGAAGGCGGAGAUUGAAUACGUGGUGUUGGGAGGCCUCGUCUGUAGGACCAAGAGUUGCAGAGAGCAGAGAAGCAGCCUUCUGUUAAGGGGAAGGCUGGUUAUUUUGCUCUGCUGUUCGCGAGGAAGAGAAGUUUUCUGUGUCCCAAGCACUUGGGAAUCUUGAUCGUUUGGUUAAACUGGUGCUUUGGCGCAGAGCGGGUGGUAUCGUUUACCUCCGUUUCCCCCUUGCUGAAUCCUUUCUCUUUUUUAAAGUGUAGUUGGAAACUUCGGCUUUUGGACCCUCUUCCGCAGGAGAAGUGUGGUCUCUUCUCAGGUCAGUUUAACACCUCUUGGUGUCUCCCCUUCUAGGGUAUGGCACAUGCAUUUUAUUUGUUUUCUUUUCUUCCGGGCAUCAUGGGCACUCAAAGUCUUGAGGGCCAUGCCAGGUUCUAGAAUGUACAAAUCCCCGUGCCCUCCCCUCCCCUGCCAGCUCCUCCCACUCUCCCCAUCCCCGCCAGUUCCCGUAAGGGGCUCCCUUGUCUGCAACCAGAGGGCCAUCGUGACCUCCACCCCUUACGUCCGCGUUCUGGUUGGUGCAUUCAAGGCCCGGGCACUUCUGUUCCCUGUGGUGGCUCUGAGUCCAGUCACGCCAUCACGGGGGCAUUUUAAUUAGCAGGGCCUUAGUCAUUAGUGAGUUAUUGUUUUUGUCUGGAAACACUUAAGUACUGUUUACCCGAUGUCUCAACGAAAUGCAAAACAGCAAUUAAGCAGAAAUUUGUUGUAUGAGGCAGGAACCAAAAUGGAUUGUCAGAAGCAGGUCCUGGUUCCUCCAAACCAAGGGACAUCGCUCCUGCCUUCGGCCUCCUGAUGACCGGAGUCCUCUCUGUCUUGGGGACCUGCCCCCCUAGAGUUAUCCGGUAGAAACACUCCGGACGACAUGUCUUCCGGGGUCGCCCUUCCUUCCUUGGUGUGGACCUUUAGGUGCGGUGAGGUGUUCGUGUUGACUUUUUUCCUUCCCUGGCCUUUUUGUCCACUACCUGGAAUAUUUCAAAACCUUUCCAACGAAGAUUAAUUAUUUGUGAAACCUCUUGCGUACCCUUGGGUGACAGUUAAUAAAACUUGAGUCUGUUUUUUUUCUCUGCUCCCGGAGACCCACGUGCCACUGUGAGUCCGCUGCUUCGUGACCCCUUGGUUGGUUGGGAUGCUGGGAUAGAUAGCCCUUUUCCUUAAAAAAAACUGUUUUUAUGGAAGUUCCUGUUGUGGCUCAGCAGGUUGAGAAGGUGACUAACAUCCAUGAAGAUGCGGGUUUGGUCCCUGGCCUCGCUCAGUGGGUUAAGGAUCCGGCGUUGAGGUCACCAACAUGGCUCAGAUCCCCGUGGCUGUGGCUGUGGCGUAGGCUGGGAGCUGCAGCUCUGAUUCGACCCCUGGCCUGGGAACUUCCAUAUGCCACAGGUGUGGCCCUGAAGAGGAAAAAAAAAAAUCUUUUUUUAGGGAUUGGUGAGAAAACAUCAAAAAUGAAGAAUUCUGGCUAAGGUGGAACUGGAGAGGCCCUAGAAUGAAAAGAAGGGGAUGCAUGUGAACACCGGCAACUUAGGCCAGAAUCACUGACACCUCCCCCCCGCCAAGGAAGGAGAGUUCCUUGCUGAAACAAAUAAAUCAAUGGCCUCUGCUUUGGUAGAAUUCUCGCGCCCCCCACCUCUGCCCCCCAUGCAAGGUUUAUGGAAAAUGGAAUCACACGAGAAGGCCGAGGAGGCCGUGUUAACUCUGAAUUUCAUCACGGUGGCUUCCCUUCCAGGAGACAGGGUGAUGUGAAAAGACCCUUGGUACCAAGUCGUCACUGGGGACCCCAGUUGCUAACCACUUGGGCUCUUGUUGCUCCCUGUCUCUUCUCUUUUUUUCUUCUUUUCCCUUCAAACAAUAUCUUCUGACUUCAGAUUUCUGAUAAAUUGAUAAGAGGCAUUGCGUGAGUCAAUAGAGCUGUAGACACUUUGCCAAUAUAACCCCGGCUCUAUUGAUCUGCCAGUAAAUUAAAGUCUUACUUAGAGGCUGCCGAUAUUUCUAAUCUCCUGCCUCACCAAUUACAUCCUCCCAGCUACCUGGAAAGGGGGCUUGAGCCUUUGAACCUCGCGUGGUUGUCGUUGCGAGGGGCCCACUGUCCUUCCACGAGCUUGGGGGUGCUUGCCUCCCAAUCCGGAGGGAGAAGGGGGAACAUGGAGAAAAAUGAGCCACAUUCACUCCUCGCGUGGCAUCCGUUUUCAGGCUCCAAGAUUCACGAAUACAAAUUUCUGCAGAACAGAUUCCAUCGUGGUGGCCGUGAACAUUUGAUCACAUGUCCGCAGGUGACUCUCACCCUUGAAUUUUGCUCCAUGGUGGAAGGUAGAGAACAUUUUGAGUAGCUGCCCUUGGCAUGUUUUAUGGCCGUCUCUCACUUUUAAAAAAUGUCGACAGCUUUUUUCUUGCCCUGAGAGGAAAGGGGAGGUAGGAUCAAAAGCUGGAUUGUUAGUGUUCAUCACUUUUUAAAAAAUGCCUGAAAGUUUGGAAAAGAGAGGAGGGAUGCCCACACAGGAGGGACCGGGUGCCUGUGUAUGUGCCCGCUGCUUUUCUGGGUUUUGGGUUACAGUCGUGCCUUCUCAUCAGAGCAGACCUGGGGCAGAGAACUCACCUCUUUGUCCACCGGAACGCUUGGCCUUGGGGUCCCCUCUGGCACCCCCCUCUGCCCUCUCUCUCACCUAUUUGAAGUCGAGUAACAAUAACAACUGCUUCAAGAUGUCGCCCCGGAACAGUGGGGCUCACCGGGUUCCCGGCCGGGUGCCCACUUUCCGCCGUGGAGGUUGGAGCAGAUCGUUGGUCUGAUAAGCUCUUUCAAGUCCCGUUUAUGUGGCUGGCUUUGGGAAGAAAUCUCCAGAUAACCGCUGCGUUCUCUCUAAUACUCCAGAGCGAAAAAUCAAUGGCAGGGAUAAUUCCUUCCCUUGUCCGACACACACUUCUCAUGUGUUCCUACCCCGGGCGGCGCGCAACGAAAUUUUAAUGACAAAUCCAGUCCCAGGGUCCCAUCUCUUCCCCAGCAUAACUGGGACGGAAAGACUCGGGGGCAGGGUGGGGGGGCAUCUGGGUCCCCUUUAGUGGAAAGAACUGCCAGGCCCCUGAGGACCUGGGACCCUUCCCAGCCCCCCCCCCCCACCACCACCACUUUCCUCUCUGGGGACAAAACUGGGUGCAGAGCUGGGGUCAGGCAACGUGGGAAGCUCGCUGGGGCCGUGCAUCACCUGACUGGGUCAGGGAGGGAGGGAAGGUGCACCCCAGGGUCCCCCUCACCCUCCCCCCCGCCACCCCCGACCGGGAGUGAGAGGCUUACAGCCUCCAUUCUGCCCGAGCGAACCAAGACCGACGGUUGCCCGCCUGGGGUGGUGGAGGCAUCUGCUUCAGAGCUGCUCGGGUCCCCUGGCCUGGCCUGGAGACGGCCUCCCCACACGGUCCCUCGGCGCCCUCGGGGCCAGGGAGUGAAGAAGAUGUUAGACAAGGAGAAACCCCAGGGGGUUGGGAUUGACUUUCCCCUUUGUUUGGAUUGCAUUGUAUUGUAGGAGGUGUUUAAAUCUUGUUCACACCUGUCGAGGCUGAGGCCUGGCUUUGAGAGCUGUUUGUAACAAGACUUCUGUUGUUGUUGCCGAAAAGGUUUCUAGCUCACAACAGAGAAACUUUAUUGUAGCAACUUGUUAAUGUUCAAUUAGGCAAAUUCUGGGUGCCCCGAGGCAGGGGAUGGGCAAGCUGGCUCUCCGACCGCCCCGCAGCCCCUGUUGGCAGGGAUGGGCUGGGAGACGCAACGUCUUGUCCACGGGCUCCUCCGGGAGCCACAGGUGGGAUCUUGGCUUAGGCUGUUGAGUCCCUUGGAGGCGGUUGAGGCUGGUGGCGGGGAAGGAGCAGGACUGACGCCAGCUCUGCGUCUUCAGUGGCAGCAGUCUCCUCCUGUCUGUUGGCACUUGCGGGCUCGCCCACCCUUGGGUGGGGCACUGGCUGUGCAUCGAGCCCAGUUGCCUGUGGGUUGGGAGGAGGGAGGGGGGCCUCCAAACCCGGUGUGUGGUGCUCACUGCCUGGGGCGGUAGAACCCUGUUACCUUUCUGGAUCCAAGCCUGACUGGCUGCACGUGGGUAUGUUCCCUGGCUUUCGUCCUGGCGUGGUUCCUCUGCAAUGACUGUCCCGCACCGUGAUGGGCAGUGUUUUCUAGUGCCUGGUACACUGAGGUCUGGACAGUGGAAAGGGAAAAACAGGAAGCCCGUUUGCCUAGUAGGAGGUUUUAUUCCACGGCGCUUACAUUCUGCCCCGCAAACAUGGUCGGCCGACAGCUGUCUUUCCAGGGUCGAGGAUGAGAAGCUAGAGCGUGAGGGGACUGGAGUUGUGCUUUCACAAAAGCCAAAAAGGGGAGUUCCUGUUGUGGCGCAGCAGAAACGAAUCUGACUAGGAACCAUGAAGUUGCGGGUUCGAUCCCUGGCCUCGCUUAGUGGGUUAAGGAUCUGGCAUUUGCUGUGACUGUGGUGUAGGCCGGCGGCAACAGUUCCAACUAGACCCCUGACCUGGGAACCUCCAUAUGCCGCGGGUGCGGCCCUAAAAGGACAAAAGCCAAAAAAAAAAAAAAAAAAGAGAAAAAAAAA
ensembl:lncRNA